rnacentral:lncRNA from 1 species
UUUAGUUUCCACUAUGGCUUUGUCUUUUUUCCCAUGUAGGGGAAAUUUUUUUUCCUUACUUAGGGAAUCUUCCCCCUUUUAGGAUUUCUUUCCUAGCUCAAGGAAAAUUCAUUGUCUUCCCAAAAACCUUUUUUAUUCACUUGCUCCUAUUGGGUGCUUUCUUCAGUAAUAGUUAAGCUUGCUAAGGUUUCAUUUGCUAAGAUUGAUUAUGGUUGUUACUUAUUUACCAUAUCUAAUUAGCUUUAGAAUGAAGCCCCAACAUUUUAUUUCCUAAAUUUAGUACACUUUGAACCCAUGCAAUUCCCAUCUCCUUGGACUUUUAGAACCAUAAUCUUACUUUCUCACAUUAACAUAUGCUUUCAAAGAAAGUUUCAAACAUCUCUUAAAAUGCAUACUACCAGAUCUCCUUUGACUAUAAACCUCAUAUGAAUA